rnacentral:lncRNA from 1 species
UUCCUCAUUGCAUGACUGGAAUCCAGUCCAUGCAGUAAGGAACAUAAGUUGGGCUUUUUAGAUUUAUUUUUUUUUUCAUUUUUAUUUAUUCAUGGGUGGGGAGGAGCAGAGGAAGAAGCAGGCUCCAUGCAAGGAUCUCGACGUGGGACUUGAUCCCGGGACUCCGGGACCACACCCUGAGCCAAAGGCAGAUGCUCAAGCAGAUGCUCAACCGCUGAGCCACCCAGGCGAGCUGGGGUUGUAGGUUUAGAGAAAAAUCUUAAUGAUAUUUGCUUUUCAGCUUUAGCUUCCCCUUCCUUAAGGUGACAUCAUUUCUGUAGAUUAGUGGCAAUUCUAAACAUUGAGCAGCAUAAAAUUGUGUUGCCAACAUUUUUUUAAAGAUUUUUAUUUAUUUAUUAGAGACACACACAGAGAGAGAGAGAGAGAGAGAGAGAGGCAGAGACUCACACAGGCAGAGGGAGAGGCAGGCUCCAUGCAGGGAGCCCGACGUGGGACUCCAUCCCAGGUCUCCAGGAUCACGCCCUAGGCUGAAGACAGCUCUACACUGCUGAGCCACUCGGCCUGCCCUUAUUGCCCACAUUUAAACUCCAAUUUUUACUUAUUAUUAUAUCAGUAGUACUUGCAAGUGGAAGUCAGGAUGUGAAUAUUUGAAACCUUUAGAACCCUGUUCUAAAGUGGCUGUUGGUCAACAGUGUUUGGAAAUCAUCUUCUGUUAUUUUACAAUGGCCUCUCUUCUCUAUUGAGCACAAUAGUGGAUUGAAAGAAUCUCCAGCAAUACUUCUAUUCCCUUUCUCUAAUAAACAGGUCUAAUUGUAUCAAAGCCAGAUUUGGUCUCCUUUUUGGAGCAAAGGAGGGAACCUUGGGAUCUGCAGACAAAGAAGACAGUAGCCAUCCAUCCAGGACUUUGCACUUUAUUGAGGCCACUGACCCCAUCUGGAUUACACGUGUAAUUUCUUUAAUCCCAGUCUGCACAGAGCAGCCCGAAUAUCAAGUGCCCACUAAGCACUACAGGCUGUCCCUCCUCUUUGAUAUUGAGAACCUCACUGCCAACUCCAAAGGGAAUCUUGGACCUCAAAGCUGAUCCACCCCAAAGCAAACCUCAAAAGCUCUAGGUCAUUACUUCACAGUGAGACUUGUUCAGGGCUACGGAAAAAGCCCAAGGAGGAAGUGAGAACUGACAGAUUUUGCGAUAUAGAGGAGAAAUAUUCAGAGAGCCGGCCUUCAGAAGAACAAGGAAACAAGGAAACAAGUGAAUGAAAAGCCCCCUGGACACCUCAGAGGGAGAUAAGUAAAGGUUUUCAAGUUGUGAAAAGAAUGGUCUCUGAGUGACAGUUUCAAAAAUAGAAAUAUUUUUCUCUAACUAUGGGUUAGGAUGCACGUAAGGGAGACGUUGAUUCCGUCU